GGUAUGGCAGUGCUGGGAGUAGAAGAUGGCGUUAAUGGUACAUUAUGCAAUGCAUGGGGAAUUCCCCUGGGAACAAAUAAGGGAUUCCACUCAAGAACAAGUGAUCAAAAAACAGGAAGCAGAAAGUAAUUGUUCUGGAUAAUCCAUAAACUGGGCAAUAUACCUUUGAUUAAAGGAGAAUUGACUAUGAAUCUGAGAUUACUGGCAAAACGUCAUCUACUAAUCUGUUUUCAAAGGGAGCAAAAAUACUUUGUACUAUAUGUUAGAAGUAGUUUUUUCUUUGUUUUUCAGUUUUCCUAUUCAAAUCAUCAUGUCAGUGUUUAUUUUUCUAUGACGGUGAAAUUU